rnacentral:rRNA from 1 species
ACUCCUACGGGAGGCAGCAGUGGGGAAUCUUAGACAAUGGGCGAAAGCCUGAUCUAGCGAUGCCGCGUGUGUGACGAAGGCCUUAGGGUCGUAAAGCACUUUCGCCAGGGAUGAUAAUGACAGUACCUGGUAAAGAAACCCCGGCUAACUCCGUGCCAGCAGCCGCGGUAAUACGGGAGGGGGUUAGCGUUGUUCGGAAUUACUGGGGCGUAAAGCGCGCGUAGGCGGACUAUUAAGUCAGGGGUGAAAUCCCGGGGCUCAACCCCGGAACUGCCUUUGAUACUGGUAGUCUUGAGUUCGAGAGAGGUGAGUGGAAUUCCGAGUGUAGAGGUGAAAUUCGUAGAUAUUCGGAGGAACACCAGUGGCGAAGGCGGCUCACUGGCUCGAUACUGACGCUGAGGUGCGAAAGUGUGGGAGCAAACAGGAUUAGAUACCCUGGUAGCGACUGA